UACAGAGGGGGCAAGCGUUGUUCGGAAUUACUGGGCGUAAAGCGCACGUAGGCGGCUUUGUAAGUUAGAGGUGAAAGCCCAGGGCUCAACCCUGGAAUUGCCUUUAAGACUGCAUCGCUUGAACAUCGGAGAGGUAAGUGGAAUUCCGAGUGUAGAGGUGAAAUUCGUAGAUAUUCGCAAGAAACACCAGUGGCGAAGGCGGCUCACUGGCCCGAUAACUGACGCUGAGGCACGAAAGCGUGGGGAGCAAACAGG
rnacentral:rRNA from 1 species